AUUGAACGCUGGCGGCAUGCUUUACACAUGCAAGUCGAACGGCAGCGCGGGGCAACCCUGGCGGCGAGUGGCGAACGGGUGAGUAAUGCAUCGGAACGUAUCCUGUAAUGGGGGAUAACGUAGCGAAAGUUACGCUAAUACCGCAUACGCUCGAGAGAGGAAAGUGGGGAUCGCAAGACCUCACGUUAUAGGAGCGGCCGAUGUCCGAUUAGCUAGUUGGUGGGGUAAAGGCCUACCAAGGCGACGAUCGGUAGCUGGUCUGAGAGGAUGAUCAGCCACACUGGGACUGAGACACGGCCCAGACUCCUACGGGAGGCAGCAGUGGGGAAUUUUGGACAAUGGGCGGAAAGACCUGAUCC
rnacentral:rRNA from 1 species